rnacentral:rRNA from 1 species
GUCUAUGGCUAUGCCACCCUGAGUGUGCCUGAUCUUGUCUGAUCUCAGAAGCUAAGCAGGGUCGGGCCUGGUUAGUACUUGGAUGGGAGACCACCUAGGAAUAUCAGGUGCUGUAGGCA